UACGGAGGAUGCGAGCGUUAUCCGGAUUUAUUGGGUUUAAAGGGUGCGUAGGCGGCAUUAUAAGUUAGUGGUAAAACAUUGGGGCUUCACCUCACUACGCCAUUAAUACUGUAGAGCUAGAGAACAGACGAGGUAGGCGGAAUAAGUUAAGUAGCGGUGAAAUGCGUAGAUAUUAGGAGGAACACCAGUGGCGAAGGCGGUCUGCUGGACAGCAACUGACGCUGAGGCGCGAAAGCGUGGGGAGCAAACAGG
rnacentral:rRNA from 1 species